UUGUCAGUCGAACGAUGAUGCCCAGCUUGCUGGGCGGAUUAGUGGCGAACGGGUGAGUAAUACGUGAGUAACCUGCCCUUGACUCUGGGAUAAGCCUGGGAAACUGGGUCUAAUACUGGAUACUACCUCUUGCCGCAUGGUGGGUGGUGGAAAGGGUUUUACUGGUUUUGGAUGGGCUCACGGCCUAUCAGCUUGUUGGUGGGGUAAUGGCUCACCAAGGCGACGACGGGUAGCCGGCCUGAGAGGGUGACCGGCCACACUGGGACUGAGACACGGCCCAGACUCCUACGGGAGGCAGCAGUGGGGAAUAUUGCACAAUGGGCGGAAGCCUGAUGCAGCGACGCCGCGUGAGGGAUGACGGCCUUCGGGUUGUAAACCUCUUUCAGUAGGGAAGAAGCGAGAGUGACGGUACCUGCAGAAGAAGCGCCGGCUAACUACGUGCCAGCCCCGCCCGGUAAUAAAAGGCGGGGGGGGGGGGGGCGGGGGGAGUGAG
rnacentral:rRNA from 1 species